GAUGAACGCUGGCGGCGUGCUUAACACAUGCAAGUCGAACGGAAAGGCCCCUAUGGGGGUCCUCGAGUGGCGAACGGGUAAGUAACACUUGAGUAACCUUCACUUGACUUUGGGACAACUUCAGGUUACUGGGGCUAAUCCCGGAAAGGAAUCUUUGCUGCAUGGUGGGGGUUGGAAAGUUUCGGCGGUGUUGGAUGGACUCGCGGCUUAUCAGCUUGUUGGUGGGGUAGUGGCUUACCAAGGCUUUGACGCGUAGCCGUCCUGAGAGGGCGACCGGCCACAGUGAGACUGAGAGACGGCCCAGACGCCGACGGGUGGGAGAAGGGGGGAAUAUUGCACAAGGGGCGUAGGCCUGAUGCAGAAGCGCCGCGUGCGGGAUGACGGCCUUCUGGUUGGAAACCGAUUUCAGCAGGAGCGAAGCUUGUGGUGACGGUACCUGCAGAAGAAGCACCGGCUAACUACGUG
rnacentral:rRNA from 1 species